rnacentral:rRNA from 1 species
GAUGGACGCUGGCGGCGUGCCUAAUACAUGCAAGUCGAGCGAACAGACGAGGAGCUUGCUCCCCUGACGUUAGCGGCGGACGGGUGAGUAACACGUGGAUAACCUACCUAUAAGACUGGGAUAACUUCGGGAAACCGGAGCUAAUACCGGAUAAUAUAUUGAACCGCAUGGUUCAAUAGUGAAAGACGGUUUUGCUGUCACUUAUAGAUGGAUCCGCGCCGCAUUAGCUAGUUGGUAAGGUAACGGCUUACCAAGGCGACGAUGCGUAGCCGACCUGAGAGGGUGAUCGGCCACACUGGAACUGAGACACGGUCCAGACUCCUACGGGAGGCAGCAGUAGGGAAUCUUCCGCAAUGGGCGAAAGCCUGACGGAGCAACGCCGCGUGAGUGAUGAAGGUCUUCGGAUCGUAAAACUCUGUUAUUAGGGAAGAACAAAUGUGUAAGUAACUAUGCACGUCUUGACGGUACCUAAUCAGAAAGCCACGGCUAACUACGUG